ACUGAACGCUGGCGGCAGGCCUAACACAUGCAAGUCGAGCGGAUGAGUGGAGCUUGCUCCAUGAUUCAGCGGCGGACGGGUGAGUAAUGCCAAGGAAUCUGCCUGGUAGUGGGGGACAACGUUUCGAAAGGAACGCUAAUACCGCAUACGUCCUACGGGAGAAAGUGGGGGAUCUUCGGACCUCACGCUAUCAGAUGAGCCUAGGUCGGAUUAGCUAGUUGGUGAGGUAAAGGCUCACCAAGGCGACGAUCCGUAACUGGUCUGAGAGGAUGAUCAGUCACACUGGAACUGAGACACGGUCCAGACUCCUACGGGAGGCAGCAGUGGGGAAUAUUGGACAAUGGGCGAAAGCCUGAUCCAGCCAUGCCGCGUGUGUGAAGAAGGUCUUCGGAUUGUAAAGCACUUUAAGUUGGGAGGAAGGGCAGUAAGUUAAUACCUUGCUGUUUUGACGUUACCAACAGAAUAAGCACCGGCUAACUUCGUG
rnacentral:rRNA from 1 species